CGCGGAGUGGAGCAGUACGGUAGCUCGUUGGGCUCAUAACCCAAAGGUCGGAGGUUCAAAUCCUCCCUCCGCAACCA
rnacentral:tRNA from 1 species